rfam:Gossypium hirsutum cultivar TM-1 unplaced genomic scaffold scaffold72.1, whole genome shotgun sequence
UAUUAAAAAUUUCAUCCAUUCGAGCUAUUAAAAAUUGACAUAGUUGACAAAAUAACCCAACAUGCCACGUGUACCUUAUGCUUACAUACAAAAACCAAUUUUUAAUAACAGAAAUUGAUGAAUUUUUUUAAUA